GGGCCGCGCCCACCACCCUAGCCUGUUUCAAGGAGGGGUAAGCCCAGCGUGAGGCUCAUUGGCUCGACAGGGGCACGUGAUGGGUCCUGAGCCAAUCCGUGGAAGGUAAAAGCUGCUUCCUGUUUGGGCAUCUGUCCGCCGCGGGUCUGGUUUUGAGCUGCUGCGGUCCCGGACUGAGGAUUAGCUCCUUGGGAGCAGACAACUGUCCUCACUGGCACAGAGGAGGAGCGCUCAGUAAAUUCUUGCUGGACGAAUAAACGACUAGAUAAGAUAAGGCAACUCCAGCCCCUGGAAGGCCAGAGACUUGCCAGUGUCCCACUAGCGGGCUCUUUACAAGAAUCUCCCUGGGCCCGCCGCAGCCAGGUGGCGGACUGCAGAGCGCGCUGCUGGGGCAUGGCGGAGGAGCGGCCAGGGGCCUGGUUCGGCUUCGGUUUUUGCGGCUUCGGGCAGGAGCUGGGCUCCGGACGCGGGCACCAGGUGCACAGCCCCAGUCCGCUGCGGGCGGGCGUCGACGUCUGCCGCGUGAGCGCGAGCUGGAGCUACACCGCCUUCGUGACUCGUGAGCGCUCCCCGCCCCGUCCCCACUUAUUCCAGCAGCACUCUCCAGUCGCCUCCCCUCACCGCUGUGGUGGAGGCCGCGUGGAGCUGUCGGGCUCAGCCAGCGGCGCGGCGGGCGGCUGCAGGGACGCGUGGGCCUCGGAGGGGCUCCUCCUGGUGCUGCGCGCUGGGCCGGGGCCGGACGCGUUACUGCAGGCCUGGGCGCCCGACUCGGCGCUGCGUGGGGAGCCCUUGUGGGCCCACAAUGUGGUGCCCGAGGCCGUAGAGGAAGACGAUCCGGGCGGUGAGGCCCAGACUGGGAGGCUACCCCUGUUGCCCUGCGCCCGUGCCUACGUGAGCCCGCGGCCUCCCUUCUACCGGCCUCUGGCUCCGGAGCUGCGGGCGCGCCAGCUGGAGCUGGGAGCCGAGCACGCGUUGCUGCUAGACGCCGCUGGUCAGGUGUUCUCCUGGGGCGGGGGCAGGCAUGGACAGCUGGGCCAUGGGACCCUGGAGGCAGAGCUGGAGCCACGGCUAUUGGAGGCGUUGCAGGGCCUAACCAUGGCUGAGGUGGCCGCAGGGGGCUGGCAUUCUGUGUGUGUGAGUGAGACUGGGGAUAUUUAUAUCUGGGGCUGGAAUGAAUCGGGGCAGCUGGCCCUGCCCACCAGGAACCUGGCAGAGGAUGGAGAGACUGUCGCAAGGGAAGCCACAGGACUGAAUGAAGAUGGUUCUCAGGUGAAGAGAACGGGCCAGGUUGAGGAUGGAGCCCCUGCCCCCUUCAUAGCUGUCCAGCCCUUCCCAGCAUUACUGGAUCUCCCCUUGGGCUCAGAUGCAGUCAAGGAACAGGGGAGCUCUACACCUGGGGCUGGGGUAAAUAUGGACAGCUGGGCCACGAGGACACCACCAGCUUGGAUUGGCCCCGCCGUGUGGAAUACUUUGUAGACAAGCAACUCCAAGUAAAGGCUGUCACCUGUGGGCCCUGGAACACCUACGUGUAUGCUGUGGAGAAAGGGAAGAGCUGACAUGUACCAACCAACUCAAAAAGUGACUGGGGAUAAAAAGGAAACACCACACUGUAUCUUUUUGAAAUGUAAGUAUACAGAUUUUAAUUUAUUUUUAAGAAUAAUUUUAUAUUUUAAAAACAGGACACGUACUGUAUGAGUAAACAAGUGUGGCCGACACAGACCAAGUCCACACUGGUAAGCUUUUGAGAACCAUUUACACUAAGUUGACAGUAGUACUGCUGCAGGCAGACAGAGGAAGAAUAAAUAAUAGUGCUUCAAGAAGAGUAGUGAUUGAGAGGGUAGGUAAAGAGGGCAUCUCAUCGUGGAUGCUAGAGCAGGAACAACUCCCCAGUAGUGACAUGUGCAAAGUUCCAGAUCUCCACGACAAAGACAGCCCAACCCAUUGGAACAAACAGACAGACUUCCAAUGCAGCUGGCAACUGCAGGGGUAGAAGAACUCAGGCAAAGUAGGCACAGGAAUGGGGAGAUGGGAGCCAGGGAGAAACGCUGAGGAAAGCAUUCCAACAAGCAUGUGUGUUCAUACAUGCAUACCCCCAACAAAGGGCAUUGCACUGUGUAACAGAACUGAACACAAUUUAACAAAGCAGUUCCCAGCCUUCCUGUCACCUCUUUGGCAGUAGGGCAGGCCAUCUCAACUUCAGACACACAGACAUUCUCAUCAGGAGGAAGGCUGUCCUGUGUGGUGGGGACAAAGCUUCAGGUGAGAGCAAAGCUAUGAUAGCUACAGCUUUAAUUGAACAUGCCUAAACAAAAAAGAUGUUAAUUACUAGUUACAGGUAUACAUGCCAGAAUUACCCCAGGGAUGGGCAUAGUCAGUCAUUUUCCUACACAGUGGUGAAAUAAAACAAGUUUUGAUCAUGCUUCAGCAAGUAGAAUUAUGUGGUAGAGGUCAGGCCCCAUAUGCUAAAAUUUGCACUUCCUGCCAUAAACUUUUAAUGUAUUUAAGUCAAAACCAAGUCUCCUAGGACCACCAAACCUAUGAUGGACUUUCAUCUGUAACACUCAUUCACAUCUUUAAGUUAGGCCCAUGGUCAUGGAACCUGUCCAGGGUUUCAAGCACGCCUACGCUGAAGAAAAACUACGGUCACCCCCAUAUAACUAGGUCCAGUCUAGGCACAGGAAGCCCCAGCUGGUUGACUGAUCAGGGCUUCUCAGGACUGGAUGUUGGUUGAAUUGAGGAUUCCAGAAGUAGCAUCAGAUUUGGAAGCCUUUGAAAGUUCUCGCUGUUGAAAAAUAAAUAACAUCAGUGGCAAUACUGCCUCUAUUACACAUGCCCCACCCUUCUAAGUAUGGUUAAGUGUCAGCAAAAGGUCCCUUGAAGGCAGUUUCUCUGAGAUCCCCAGCCUGGCAUAGGCUGCGUUAGGAGUAAAAGGCGAAGAACUCUGAGCACCAUUCUAUUAGUCAUAGACAGAGUGCAUGUACACGCAUACCUGUGAUCCCUUUCCUCAGCCAGUCCCUUCUGUUACACCUCAGAGAAGAGAAAUCCUUCAUACAGUCAUGCACCACAUAAUGACGUUUCAGUUAACAACAGGCCACAUACACUAUGGUGGUCCCAUAAGAUUAUACCAUAUUUUUACUGUACCUUUUCUAUGUUUAGAUACACAAAUACUUACCAUUGCGUUACAACUGCCUACAGUAUCCCAGCCUGAAUCAAAAAAACCCACAAUUGCCUAUAGUAUUCUUUCUGUAACAUGCUGCCCAGGUUUGUAGCCUAGGAGGAAAAUGCCAUACCAUAUAGCUUAGGUGUGUAGGCUGUACUGUCUAGGACUGUUAAGUACACACUGAUAUGUGCACAAUGAAAUUGCCCCACACAUUCUCAGAACAUAUCCCUGUCAUUAAGUGAGGCGUGACUCUACUUCACAAAGCUACUUUAGAGUCGUCAAGUAGGCAACAAGCUUUGGUCUCCUGAAGCCCUCUAUAAAACAAUGGGCCAGAACAUAUAUCUACCAAUCCCUGGGGCUGAGGCCUUGUAACCUGCUGGUGAUUUGAUCUCAUGCUGGAGCACAUGGUAUAGCAGCAAAAGAUAAAGCAUGAAUGGCCAUUGAGAAAGACAGAUAUUAGCAGAGGUUAGUUUACUGGCUUUGGUGCUGCCUGGUGGAGUCUAUCAGCCAUAGCAACCCAAACCAGAUGAACCUACCUAGGACUAGCCACAGAGAUAGGCAGGUACAUUUAAGCCUCAACUAGAUAAAAUGGGCCUUGGUUGAACAAGCAAAAAAGAGAAAGCUGGACCUCUGUCCAGCAGUCAGCCAGAGUGACACACACCCACUUUUAUAGGUAGAAGCACCACCAGCCAUGUAAUUUGAAAAACUUGCUGGAGUAGGAAGCCAGUUUCAGUGAUUAAAAUUAGCUGCAGCCUUGGCCAACUGUUCCAUUCUCCAUCCCUGCAGCAAUUAAGAGGGGAGGCAGGCUAGGGGUUUAACUCAACAUCCCCUCAAGGGUGAGGGACAUCCUCACCUCUUGCUAAUAAAAUAUUGAGAGAAGAGAAGAUAGAUUAAGUAAAAGGCAGUGUAAUUAGGUGUUAGCAGAUAUAGAGUAGGAUACUAGGAAGUGAAGAGCAUUCUGGAAAAACGUGCUUCCAAUGCUGCUUCUAUGCUUCAGUAGCUCAAUGUAUGGAAAGAGGCAAAGGUGAGGAAAUCGGCAUUAGCUAGCUGAGAAUAGACAGAGCUGGCAGUUGAGCCCUGAGGUUAGGAAGGCAUAUACUCCAGGAAAUAAUCAGCACACAGGCCAAGAGCCUCGUUGUAGGCAGCACACAGCUGGGGCUCCCUUCCCCAUGUGAUGGGGCCUCUAUUCUUUCCAGCUACUGCAGGCCUUUGAUGUCACAAUUGGGGAGGGUCAAGGUUUUCUGUUAAAACACAAUUUAAAACUGCCUGACUUUAGGGGCUGAGAAUCCAAUUCAAGUCUGAACAAAUUUUCUUAUUAAUCUGUUGUGAAUGUAAAUCAGAUGUGUUUUUUUUGAGUCCAUGAUAGGAAUUCCUGCUUCCUUUGUAACACUGCCGAGAUUAUUGGUUAGUGUAGCCCUGUGCCCAGAUGAAUGAAGCUAGCAGAUGACAGAUCAGUUUGGAAAAGGGACAUGGGACAUGCAGGGGUUGCCAUACAGACCUGAAGCCCAACAGUGGAACUGUCAGAGAGGGACGGAUCCUUCUAAGAACAAAGAAUUGAGACAAUUACCAAGAACUCCACCAAGAGAGCACCAGGGCAGUGAUAGAGGGGUUGCCUCCCGCAGCCAGGGAAUGGUAUAUAUUAAGCAGAAGGAUCCAGGUUCAAUGUCUAGUUGCUGCUGCCAACUUCCUUCCUAUACAACCCCCUCUUAAAUCACACCCACCCUGCCAUGGUCAAAGCAGGAAAGGGAUUCUCAGCCUCCAAGGUAGCUGCCCUAGCUAAUAGCCUGGGUGCCCCUGGGAAGAUACCCACUCUGCCCCAACUGUGUGCUCCCCAGAGACUGGUA